CCUACGGGUGGCAGCAGUGAGGAAUAUUGGUCAAUGGCCGGAAGGCUGAACCAGCCAUGCCGCGUGAAGGUCAGUGCCCUAUGGGCGUUAAACUUCUUUUGUGCGGGAGCAAUAAUGGUCACGUGUGGCCAGACGAGAGUACCGUACGAAUAAGCAUCGGCUAACUCCGUGCCAGCAGCCGCGGUAAUACGGGGGAUGCAAGCGUUAUCCGGAUUUAUUGGGUUUAAAGGGUGCGUAGGCUGGGAGGUAAGUCAGCGGUGAAAUGCCCCCGCUCAACGGGGUGAAGUGCCAUUGAUACUGCCUGGCUUGAGUGCGGAUGCCGUGGGAGGAAUGUGUGGUGUAGCGGUGAAAUGCAUAGAUAUCACACAGAACACCGAUUGCGAAGGCAUCUCACGAAUCCGCGAUUGACGCUGAUGCACGAAAGCGUGGGUAUCAAACAGGAUUAGAUACCCUUGUAGUC
rnacentral:rRNA from 1 species